rnacentral:lncRNA from 1 species
AUGUUCAGGAAGUGUUUUCCAAAACAUACCUUAAAAGGCAUUAGUUGGACACAGUGAUCUCUGCCCUUGAGUAUAUUCUUGCUGGACUCCCAGGAUGGCUCAAGAGAACAGGACACGGAUGACUUCAGGCCGUUGUUGUCCAAGUCGCUUCAUGGUCGCGCUCCCAUGGGAAGGCUGCGUCACACAGGAUUACGAGCACAGACAGGAG